GGCCGCCUGGCGUAAUGGCAACGCGUCUGACUACGACGUUCCACGGGUUGGGAUCCGUUAUCAGGAGAUUGCAGGUUCGACCCCUGCGGUGGUCA
rnacentral:tRNA from 1 species